rnacentral:rRNA from 1 species
CCUGGUUGAUCCUGCCAGUAGUCAUAUGCUUGUCUCAAAGAUUAAGCCAUGCAUGUGUAAGUACAGGCCGACUUAAGGCGAAACCGCGGACGGCUCAUUAAAUCAGAUAUAACUCAUUGGAUCUCUGCUGAACCGCAUUACUUGGAUAACUGUGGUAAUUCUAGAGCUAAUACAUGCCUUUGUAGUCUCCGACCGCGAGGGAGGAGCGCUUUUAUUAGACCAAAACCCUCGGCAGCCGGUUCCCGCAAGGGGCCGGCCGCACACAUCUUGGUGAAUCAGAAUAACUUUUGCCGAGCGCACGACCCCUCCCGUAACCCGGGUUGGGUCGGCGCCGCGUCCUGCAGGCGUCUGCCUUAUCAGCUCUCGAUUGUAGGUUAAACGCCUACAAUGGCUAUCACGGGUAACGGGGAAUCAGGGUUCGAUUCCGGAGAGGGAGCCUGAGAAACGGCUACCACAUCUAAGGAAGGCAGCAGGCGCGCAAAUUACCCACUCCCGGCACGGGGAGGUAGUGACGAAAAAUACUGUUGCGAGCCCCGAACGGGGCCUCGCAAUUGGAAUGAGUACACUUUAAAUCCUUGUACGAGGAUCGAGUGGAGGGCAAGUCUGGUGCCAGCCGCCGCGGUAAUUCCAGCUCCACUAGCGUAUAUUAAAGUUGUUGCGGUUGAAACGCUCGUAGUUUGACUUCUGCUCCGGACCGGCGGUCCGCCUUAGCGGCGGCUACUGCCGGGUUCCGAGCUGUGUCCCCGCCGGCGCACAUGGGGUUUUUAUGCCCUUAACCGGGUGUCCCCUUGUGGCCGGCACGUUUACUUUGAAAAAAUUAGAGUGCUCAGAGCAGGCUGGUUUUUGCUUACAGCCCGAAUGGUCGUGCAUGGAAUGAUGGAACAGGACCUCGGUUCUAUUUUGUCGGUUUUUCGGAACCCGAGGUAAUGAUUAAUAGAAGCAGACGGGGGCAUUCGUACUGCGACGCUAGAGGUGAAAUUCUUAGACCGUCGCAUGACGACCUACUGCGAAAGCAUCUGCCAAGGAUGUUUUCAUUGAUCAAGAACGAAAGUUAGAGGUUCGAAGGCGAUCAGAUACCGCCCUAGUUCUAACCUUAAACGAUGCUGACUAGCGAUCCGCCGCAGUUAUUCCCAUGACCCGGCGGGUAGCUUCCGGGAAACCAAAGUCUUUGAGUUCCGGGGAAGUAUGGUUGCAAAGCUGAAACUUAAAGGAAUUGACGGAAGGGCACCACCAGGAGUGGAGCCUGCGGCUCAAUUUGACUCAACACGGGGAAACUCACCAGGCCAGGACACCGGAAGGAUUGACAGAAUGAAGGCUCUUUCUCGAUUCGGUGGGUGGUGGUGCAUGGCCGUUCUUAGUUGGUGGAGUGAUCUGUCUGGUUAAUUCCGAUAACGAACGAGACUCUAGCCUGCUAAAUAGUCGACGGAUCUCAACCCGUUGCCCCCGUUGUCGUUCGCGGCGAUGCGGGGCGCGGGUUCCCCGAAACCCGGUCGUCGUGCGGGCCUCCACCGUCGGUCGGUUAGCGCCGCCGGCGGCGCGCCCCGCGGCGCCGGAAACUGGCGUCCGCUUCGCAGUCUUCUUCUUAGAGGGAUAAGCGGCAGCAAAAAAUAUACUAGCCGCACGAGAGUUUGAGCCAUAACAGGUCUGUGAUGCCCUUAGAUGUUCUGGGCCGCACGCGCGCUACAAUGGAGAGUUCAGCGAGCUGGCCCUGCUCCGAGAGGAGCGGGUAACCUCGUGAAAGCUGUCCUUAAAGGGGAUUGGGGCUUGCAAAUGUUCCCCAUGAACGAGGAAUUCCCAGUAGGCGCAAUUCACCAGAUUGCGCCGAUUUAGUCCCUGCCCUUUGUACACACCGCCCGUCGCUACUACCGAUUGAAUGGUCUAGUGAGGGCACCGGACUGGCGCCCUUGGAGCCGCUACCGCCUCGGCGGGCAGCGCCCUCGGGUCGACGGAAAGGUGUCCAAGCUGGGUCAUUUAGAGGAAGUAAAAGUCGUAACAAGGUUUCCGUAGGUGAACCUGCGGAAG